UACGGAGGGUGCAAGCGUUAAUCGGAAUUACUGGGCGUAAAGCGCGCGUAGGUGGUUUGGUAAGCGAGAUGUGAAAGCCCCGGGCUUAACCUGGGAACGGCAUUUCGAACUGUCAGACUAGAGUGUGGUAGAGGGUAGUGGAAUUUCCUGUGUAGCGGUGAAAUGCGUAGAUAUAGGAAGGAACACCAGUGGCGAAGGCGACCACCUGGACUGAUACUGACACUGAGGUGCGAAAGCGUGGGGAGCAAACAGG
rnacentral:rRNA from 1 species